rnacentral:rRNA from 1 species
CCAGACUCCUACGGGAGGCAGCAGUGGGGGAUAUUGCACAAUGGGGGGAACCCUGAUGCAGCGACGCCGCGUGGGUGAAGAAGCGCCUCGGCGCGUAAAGCCCUGUCAGCAGGGAAGAAAAUGACGGUACCUGAAGAAGAAGCCCCGGCUAACUACGUGCCAGCAGCCGCGGUAAUACGUAGGGGGCAAGCGUUAUCUGGAUUUACUGGGUGUAAAGGGGGCGCAGACGGCGAUGCAAGCCAGGAGUGAAAGCCCGGGGCCCAACCCCGGGACUGCUUUUGGAACUGCGCGGCUGGAGUGCAGGAGGGGCAGGCGGAAUUCCUGGUGUAGCGGUGAAAUGCGUAGAUAUCAGGAGGAACUCCGAUUGCGAAGGCAGCUCACUGGACUGCAACUGACACUGAGGCUCGAAAGUGUGGGUAUCAAACAGGAUUAGAUACCCCCGUAAU